rnacentral:rRNA from 1 species
GACGAACGCUGGCGGCGUGCUUAACACAUGCAAGUCGAUCGAAGAGCGAUGGAAGCUUGCUUCUAUCAAUCUUAGUGGCGAACGGGUGAGUAACGCGUAAUCAACCUGCCCUUCAGAGGGGGACAACAGUUGGAAACGACUGCUAAUACCGCAUACGAUCUAACCUUGGCAUCGAGGAUGGAUGAAAGGUGGCCUCUAUUUAUAAGCUAUCACUGAAGGAGGGGAUUGCGUCUGAUUAGCUAGUUGGAGGGGUAACGGCCCACCAAGGCGAUGAUCAGUAGCCGGUCUGAGAGGAUGAACGGCCACAUUGGGACUGAGACACGGCCCAGACUCCUACGGGAGGCAGCAGUGGGGAAUCUUCCGCAAUGGACGAAAGUCUGACGGAGCAACGCCGCGUGAGUGAUGACGGCCUUCGGGUUGUAAAGCUCUGUUAAUCGGGACGAAAGGCCUUCUUGCGAAUAGUGAGAAGGAUUGACGGUACCGGAAUAGAAAGCCACGGCUAACUACGUGCCAGCAGCCGCGGUAAUACGUAGGUGGCAAGCGUUGUCCGGAAUUAUUGGGCGUAAAGCGCGCGCAGGCGGAUCAGUCAGUCUGUCUUAAAAGUUCGGGGCUUAACCCCGUGAUGGGAUGGAAACUGCUGAUCUAGAGUAUCGGAGAGGAAAGUGGAAUUCCUAGUGUAGCGGUGAAAUGCGUAGAUAUUAGGAAGAACACCAGUGGCGAAGGCGACUUUCUGGACGAAAACUGACGCUGAGGCGCGAAAGCCAGGGGAGCGAACGGG